rnacentral:tRNA from 1 species
UCUAUUAUGGCAGAAAAAUGUAAUGAAUUUAAGAUUCAUAAAUAAAAUAUUAAAUUAUUUUUUUUAGAA